rnacentral:rRNA from 1 species
UUGAAAGGGAAACGAUUGAAGUCAGUCAUGCCAGUGGGAAUCAACUUAGGGGAAACUCCGGGUGCACUUCUUCGCUUGGCAGGUCAACGUCGAUUUUGAAUGUCAUAAAAUAAUUGGGGGAAGGUAGCUCUUCGGGAGUGUUAUAGCCCUUGAUAGAUGUGAUGUUUGGGGUCGAGGAUUGCAACGGAAUCCUUCGGGGCUAGCCGCCUGAUCUCUAAUUGGUGUUGGGUUACGGAUAGCAUGCUGACCGUGAUCUAAUUACUGGUUAAAAGGUUAGAGUGUGCAUAAAUUCGUUAAGGAUGUUGACGUA